rnacentral:rRNA from 1 species
AUUGAACGCUGGCGGCAGGCCUAACACAUGCAAGUCGAGCGGGGUUUUCGGACCUAGCGGCGGACGGGUGAGUAAUGCGUAGGAAGCUGCCCGAUAGAGGGGGAUACCAGUUGGAAACGACUGUUAAUACCGCAUAAUGUCUACGGACCAAAGUGUGGGACCUUCGGGCCACAUGCUAUCGGAUGCGCCUACGUGGGAUUAGCUAGUUGGUGAGUUAAUGGAUCACCAAGGCGACGAUCUCUAGCUGGUUUGAGAGGGUGAUCAGCCACACUGGAACUGAGACACGGUCCAGACUCCUACGGGAGGCAGCAGUGGGGAAUGUUGGACAAUGGGCGCAAGCCUGAUCCAGCCAUGCCGCGUGUGUGAAGAAGGCCUUCGGGUUGUAAAGCACUUUCGGCGAGGAGGAAGGGGUGUGUGUUAAUAGUACACACCUUUGACGUUACUCGCAGAAGAAGCACCGGCUAACUCUGUGCCAGCCGCCGCGGUAAUAC